UAUGGCUAUAUCACGUUAAAACACUGGUUCUCGUUCGACCACCGAAGUUAAGUAACAUCGAACCUGGCCAGUACCUAGAUAGAUGAGAGCUUGGGAAUAUCAGGUACUGUAA